UCCCUCCUCUCGCUUACCGCAGGCGGCGGCGGCCCCGCCGACUGUACAGAAAGAGGAGGCAGAGCAGGCAGCCCCGAAUACACCCCGGCGGCGGAGUCCGUGCCCCGACUGGACUGUGAUCGGGGGGACAGCC